UACGUAGGGCGCAAGCGUUGUCCGGAAUUAUUGGGCGUAAAGAGCUCGUAGGCGGCUUGUCACGUCGGUUGUGAAAGCCCGGGGCUUAACCCCGGGUCUGCAGUCGAUACGGGCAGGCUAGAGUUCGGUAGGGGAGAUCGGAAUUCCUGGUGUAGCGGUGAAAUGACGCAGAUAUCAGGAGGAACACCGGUGGCGAAGGCGGAUCUCUGGGCCGAUACUGACGCUGAGGAGCGAAAGCGUGGGGGAGCGAACAGG
rnacentral:rRNA from 1 species